rnacentral:rRNA from 1 species
UACAGAGACUGCAAGCGUUAUUCGGAUUCACUGGGCGUAAAGGGUGCGCAGGCGGUUGUGUGUGUCAGGUGUGAAAGCCCGGGGCUUAACCCCGGAAUUGCGCCUGAAACUACAUGACUAGAGCAUUGGAGAGGGUAGCGGAAUUCACGGUGUAGCAGUGAAAUGCGUAGAUAUCGUGAGGAACACCAGAGGCGAAGGCGGCUACCUGGACAAUUGCUGACGCUCAGGCACGAAAGCUAGGGGAGCAAACAGG